UUAUACUGAAAACAUUUUCAAAAACUAUGAAGCAGUAAGCAACUUGACAAAAAGAGAAAUGAGCCCUGUAGCCAAUGCUUUCCUCAGUAUAAAGAUGAAUUUGAAACAGUGUCAUAAUCAAAACAGAUGUUCCUGUGGGGAGGAAUCCCAAAGACGAUAUAAACUUAUACUGGAGGCAUAUGAAAUGCUUGACAAGAAAACAGCAACAAUUAAAGCAUUUGGCGAGAUCGAUCUUCUGUUUGCCUGGAUGGAAAACUUCAAGAACUGAUCACAUUUUUAAUAAUUCACACCUGUUCAUUUCAAUAAGUUAUCAACACUGAUGUUUAUUUAUUUUGUGCAACUUUUUAAAAAUACUUUGUAAUAAAC
rnacentral:lncRNA from 1 species